AUUUGACUAAAGUUCGAUAUUUAUUUUCCGAAUUUUCGGUAUAUUACAAACUAUGACUUGAUACUUUGUUUAGUUUGACGUUUAUGUUUGAUCUUGUUAAGUUUACUUGAAUCUUGAUUAUGUUUUAAGAAUAUUUUUGCAGGAAUAAUUCAAGACUUCAAGACUCCAUGUCUAAGCCAUAGAGUCUGUAUUAAGGUUAUGAAAAUUGUAAUUUUCGGUUAUUGGAUCGAUCAUGCAGGAGAUUAUCGUUUGGUGAUUGCGAUGAUCUUCUUUAUAUUGUUUCUGAGUUGUGUACGAGCAUUGUAGUAUAUUUUGUCACGAAAUCGCCAAAGGGGGAGAUUGUUAAGGAUUUUAUAGGUUGGCGAAUUUCGUAAAGUUGAUUGGAGUCUUGAAGAGUUGAUCGCGGAAGUUUUUGAAGAAAAGAUUCAAAUUGAAGAACAAAGAUUCAUUCGUAAAGUUCGACACCUAAGGUAUGGAGAAAAGAUCAUUUGUGGUGAAGAUACUUAAUUGGAAUAAGUUCAGAAGGCUUAGAUUGCUUUAAAACUUUUUUACUGAACUUUUCUGUGUUCUGGGACCGGUCCCUGAGGUGAAGAGACCGGUUUCCCUAAGGUCCUCUCCUCGUGAGUUUUAAUGCAACCGGUCCCCUGAGAUGAGAGACCGGUUCCCGAACCUUGGUAAUUCUGUCGCGCAGCGAGGGACCGGUCUCAAGCUUGAGUGACCGGUUCCCGAACGUUGUGUUUUUGGUCACGCAGCGAGGGACCGGUUCCUCACUUGAGAGAUCGGUCUCUCACAGACCGGUCUCCUCGAGAGGACCGGUCCCUGAGGACGACACAGGUUUUUAAAAAGGACUUUUUGCAAUCCUAGUCUACUUCUAAGUCUUCUAAACAUAUAAAUAAGCCAUGGGGGUCAUCUAAAAAUUCGAGGCUUUGAAUUUCUACUCAUUCUAAACCCUAGAAACUUGUUUUUCUCGUUCUUAUGGUUUGAUUCUUAUAACAAGUUUCUAAUAAUCAACAAUCGACUUGAUUCUUCGUUUUUACUCGAGAACUCAUACGAGAAUCAAGUAGAUGUUUGAUUAAAAGGUAGACCCUCAGUGCUUAUGGGAUUCUAAAGCUUAAUCACCACAAAUCUUCGUUUCAACAAGCUCCGGAAGGAGAUUCGGCGCGUGGAGCUCGCGUGUAGCCGAGGAUUCGGUGGACGCUUCGUGGAGUUGAGGCGUUGAUGCUGCGAGGAGUUGCAGCGAGAUCGAUUGGAGGGUUCCCAUCGAUCGAGGACCGGUGAAGAUCACUAUCUACGGGAAAUCGGUAAAUUGAGUCGUGUAUUUUUGUCAAAAUCACUUGUACUCAAGUUUUCUUAGUGGAUUUUCUUCGCAUGAUCGGUCCCGUGGGUUUUUCACUCCGAAUUGGAGUUUUCCCACAUUAAAUUCUCGGUGUGCUGUUUUAUUUUUCGCUACUUUGUUUUAUUUGCAUCGAGAUUUUUGAGUUUGCCGUUUUUACACCUAUUCACCCCCCUCUAGGUGUUACUUACCUUUUAGAUCCUCGGGAUCCAUAUCUCACAC
rnacentral:lncRNA from 1 species